UGCAGAGGUGGCUCAGCGGGUAAGAGGCUGCUCUUCCAGAGGUCCUGAGUUCAAUUCUCAGCAACCACAUGGUGGCUCACAACCAUCUGUAAUGGGGAUUUGAUGCCUUCUUCUGGUAUGUCUGAAGACAGCUACAGUGUACUCACAUACAUGAAAUAAAUUUAAAAAGAAAAAGAAAAAAGAGGUUUAUCCCUACCUCAGGAUCAAGGCCUGUUUGACAUAAGGUCUGAAACUUGCCAUAAAUUGACAUGAGUUUUGGGAGACCUUUUGAGUUUGGAGAGGCUCUGACUCCUGAUUUUUUUUUUUUUUUAACUGUAUAAUGCUUGUGGGUCUAGGGCUGAUUAAAGAAGAUAACUUUCCAAAUAACUUUUUUCUUGAAAUGUGGGCCAUCACUUUUUGUGACUUUGGCCUGCCUCUGUCAACUGAGAUGCAUAUUGUUUAAUCUAUUUAUAAAAAGAAACUUCAUUUUAGAUUCACGGAAAAGCUGCAGAGAUGAUGGUGUACGCUUAUAAUCUCAGUGCUGGGGAGGCGAGAUUGGGAGAGCAAGAGUUCAAGGCCAGCAGUAGCUACAGAGUGAGGGAGUUCCAGGCCAGUCUGGGCUACUUGAGAGCCUGUCUCAAAAACAGGGCGGGAAGUCGCGGCUACUGCAAAGUCUACUGGAAGUCGCCGCUACUGCAAAGAUGCUACUCAAGUCUUUUUAGAUCUCCUGUUUCCCUGUUGUUGAUACCGUGUGUUAGUAAUGUGGCACCGUCAAUGGCAGACACGAUUGUAGGCCACAUCUUGCACCAUUUUCUUAGUUCUUUCCUUGUUUAUGUUCUCUGUUCCAGGAUCUCAUAUCUCUGCAUAUCACAUUACACUUAGUCCCUUAUCUCCUUAGAUACCCCUUGGCUGUCAUAGUUGUCCCAUCCAUAUUUAUUGUAUAGAUAAAUAUCCAUUAUAUAUUGAUGCAUCUGGAUUGACCAGGGGCUGAAAGCUCUAAGCUCAGCAAGCCAAUGAAAUUAUAUUUUAUUAGUAGCUUUGAUAAAUUAGUUACCAUUCAGGACACUUCACUGGUUUUGUUUCCAGUUCUAGGUUGUUUACCUGUUACGGCCAUUUCCCUGCUCAGUUACCUGAAGGAAGAAAAAGCAUUUAAACACUGAACAAGUAAGUCAGAAUACACGCGAUCAGCCUAUUCCAGUCCCAGUUGGUGUGAAAACACAAGCCUGUCGUCUCGACUGGACCAGGAUGUGCGUGGCACAAAAAGUAUUCUGAAUUUGGUUUGUUGUUUGUAUUAUGUUUAUUGGAUUCCCAAAAUUACAGAGGAAUUCACACAUCAGCAUGUAAGACACAUGCUGAAGGUCCCCGCCCCUUGUUGGCUUUGAUUGGUAAAGUUUUCAGUGGCCAAUGGCUGGGCAGGGAGACAGAGGCGGAACUUUUAGGAUCACCAGGCAAGAAAUGCAUGAGAGAAAGGUUCGCCAUGUCAGGAAUGGGAUACGAUCUAGACUUGAGAGCGGCAGAAGAAACAGCAAACCAAUCACAUAAGAGCCAGGGAAGACUAGCCCCAGCCCACCCCAAAAUUGGGUCUAGGGUAGCAAAGAUGGAAUAAAGAUCUUAAUAACUCAAGAGUAUUGGAAGGGAGGUGUUAACAAUGCGAAAAUUCAGGAGUGGCUCAGUCAUUGAGUUGAUUAAUGAUUAAGGCCUUGAGGCAGGUAAUGAGGAACACCCCCACCCCACCACCACGGGGGGUGGUGUGAUGAGAGCAGAUUAAUCAACUACAGCAACAGAAAAACCUCCACCUGGCUAGCUAGAUCUGUAGCAUGGCCAGGAGGGUUGCUCUCCUCCUCCCUUCUUUUUUCUAAUUCUCUUUUGAGGCAGGGUCUCCAUGUGUAGCCCUGGCUGUCCUGGAACUCACUCUGUGGACCAGGCUGGCCUCGAACUCAAGAGAUCUGCCUGCCUCUGCCUCCCGAGUGCUGGGAUUAAAGGCGUGGACCACCACACCAGGGUUAAUUAAGGUCAUUUGUAGUUGUAGAAGGUUCUAGUUAACAUUUUAAGUCUCUUUAAUGUAUGUUUCUGCCAAGAGGGAAGGACUAGAGAAGAACCUUAAUGUAUUCAUAUCCUCAUUGCUUUAAAAGUGAAUGUCAAAAAAUUGACCAGAAAUUGCAUUUUCCAAGUACUGUUACUAACACUGCCAGCAGGUGUCAGCAGUUGCUAUGUUGUUAAAAAUAUUGCUGCUGGCCCUAAUCAGACCUCAAUGGGCUGAGCUAGAACCCAGGAAAUUCCAGUGGAGUCUGGGUGACAUACCAAGAACUGACUCAGAUAACAAAACAGAAACUUGUCAGCAUUCUGUGGCAAAAGCAGUUUUGUUGUUAUUUUGUUUUUUUAAGACAGGGUUUCUCUGUGCAGCCUUGUCUGUCUCCGCCACUCUGUAAAAGUGGCUGGCCUCAAACUCAAGAGGUCCACCAGCCUCUGCCUCCCAAAUGCUGGGAUUAAUGGUGUGAACCAUAACCACCUGACAGCAAAAGCAGUUUUAAUUUCUAGGAUUUUGAUUUUCUUUGGUAGAUUCAACAUGAUAAAUAACAGCAAGACAGGAAGGACAGUAUUGCUGAAAACUUUUAAAGGCACUCAGAGAUACAAUCUUGGUAUCUUACACAAUUUCUGUGUAACAAAGUGCCACACCUGACUGUCUUACUUAGUUAGCCUUAGACAUUGACAUAAGCAAUUAAGUUAUAUGUAAAGCUCCAGGUAGGUUGAAGAAACACUGUGGCGUCCACUGAUACUGUUGCCUAAAUUCAGCCUACUGAGGAUUUAUAGUAAGAAAACGGGUGAACUUUUGUGGGCCUGGAUACCAGAGGUUUUCCACGGAGAUCCAUCUGGCCAGGCCUGGUGUGAGGGUUUCUUCCAAGGCAAGUGAGUGCGGGCAGGAAAGCAAAGUCUCUGCCUGGAAGUGCCUUCCAGGUCGCUCAGUCGGGUUGGGCUGGGCCAACAAGAAGCUAUCCAGUGAGGAGUGUGGCAGAACCUCAGGUGGCACUUUGGGAGAGCAGAUCUUUUCCCAAGUGUUACAGCUCUUGGAACAAAAGACUCAAGACGACGGAGUAGUUCUCGCACACCUUUAAUUCCCUGGAUAGGAUUUAUAUACAGUUUUGGGGGUGAUUCAGGGUUCGACAGCAGGUACCUCUCAUUGGCUUGGUCUGAGAGCUUGGGGGGAACCUUAUUUGCAUGUGGGAAGGCUUGGUGCUGCUCCUAUGCAACUGAUAGCCACACACCUCUUCUACGGGGUCUUGUGGGGACUGUAACUUCGACAGGAGCCAGGGGCCCAGAAGACAUGAUUGAAAACCUUUCGUCCCAUGUAGGUAGAAAUCACCACCCAUCGGGUCCCUGGAGUUCCAGACCUUCCCUCGACUGGAGACCAGGCUGCCUGUGCGCAGCCCACUACCCCACAUACUUUCUUGGGGAAAUGUAUUUUGUUUUGUUUUGAGGCAUGGUCUCAUUAUGUAUAUAAAUAAUAGUCCUACUGUGGACUGUUGGGGCAUUCUAAAUGCUAAGAAGCC
rnacentral:lncRNA from 1 species